GUUUAGCACAAUUCCAAUAGAUAUUCUUUUAAUUUAUAUCCAUUUGAAGUUUCUUGAAUCCAGAUGCUAAUUUUUUAUACUAUAUUUUUCCUUAUAUUUUGUUAUAUUGUAAUAUUCCCUCCCAAAGAAUUUAUUUCAGCUGGAUUAACCCUAGAUAAUAUUGUUUCAUCUUUUAUAAUUGAAGAGAGAGAAAACUUUAUUAAUCAUCAUAUUAAACGUACCAGCAUUAAUUUAAUAAUUUUUUCACUCCUGCCAUCAAUAUUUAUUUAUGGCUGCAAAGUUCUUCAUUGGCAAGAGGUAGAAAAUGAAAUAAUGACCAUUGAUAAUUUCAAAAAAUGGAACAAUAAGACCUACAAUGAAUUUAAUGGGCUCCAAUUCUUAUUAAAUUUUUUUUUCUAUUUUCUGGGAUUUACAACAUUUAUCUUUUUUCUUACUUGCAUUAUCAUUAAGUAUUACUCUUUAGAAAACUGGAAAAAUCACCCAAUUGCCCAAAAUUUGACUCUAUAUACAUCAACAGUUGAAAUUUCUGAAAUUAAUAAUGAAUCACAUGAAAAUAUUAACAAGGAAACAAAUAAUUUGGAAAAUUUUUCAAUUAAAAAAGAUAGUUGGGUUAGGGUAGCUGAAUCAGUUAGUAAAGAAUUUCAAUUGAUUGAUAAGUUUUCCUCAAAUUUUGGGAAUAGUAAAUUUUAUUUAACGAAUUCUUGGAUGAUUAAGGUUGGAAUUUUUAAUGUGAAUAUUGUUCAAAAAAAUGAUGUUGAACUAAAUUUAGCAGUUGCCAAAGAUCAUACUCUCUCUCAUAUUAGUGAUUUUGGAGCUCAAAUUUUAGAAAUUAAAGUUAACCCUAUACACAAAACUAAUAUACAACCUUUUAAUAUCAGGCUAAGUUCCUUUGACUAUAAUAGUUUAAAAGAAUCACUAAAAAGACCAAUUAUAAUUACAGAAAAUAUUGUAAUUAAACAAUCCCUGUCUGAUAGAUUUGUUGAGACAUUUAUCGAUGUUAUAAAUGGAAAUCCAAAGUACACCUUGCCUCCCAUCAUUACCCUCGAAAAUUGUUUGGGAUGUUUGAUCAAACCGUCUCAAGUUAAAUUAUACAAAAAUUGUAUUGACACGAGCCCAGAGACUCCUAAUGAUGCGGAAAACUCUGAACGAACCCAUUGCAAAAUGUGCUAUUGUCGACCUAUGUGGUGUAUCUCCUGUAUGGCCAAAUGGUUUGCCAGCCGUCAAAACCAAAAAACACCAGAAAAUUGGCUCUCUGGUUAUUCACCUUGCCCCCUAUGCCGAUCUACUUUUUGUAUUUUGGACGUGUGUUUAUUACGAUAAAUGAGUUUUUUACUCUAAGAAACUAAUAUCAGCUUUAGUAGAAUAAAUAGAGGCAAAACCAUAAUUUAAAAAAUAUGGGAUUAUCAAAUAAAUUUAACCAUAAUUUAAAACAAUAAUUUAUGAAAUGUAAAUACUGCAAUAUUCGAAACAGCAUUCAUAUAAUUCGCUUAGUUAUAUACAGAUUGCACUACAAACUUGUUACUUAUUUUCUUUCCUGAUUCAAA